GACGAACGCUGGCGGCGUGCUUAACACAUGCAAGUCGAACGGAAAGGCCCUGCUUUUGUGGGGUGCUCGAGUGGCGAACGGGUGAGUAACACGUGAGUAACCUGCCCUUGACUUUGGGAUAACUUCAGGAAACUGGGGCUAAUACCGGAUAGGAGCUCCUGCUGCAUGGUGGGGGUUGGAAAGUUUCGGCGGUUGGGGAUGGACUCGCGGCUUAUCAGCUUGUUGGUGGGGUAGUGGCUUACCAGGGCCUUGACGGGUAGCCGGCCUGAGAGGGUGACCGGCCCCAGUGGGACUGUGAUACGGCCCGGAGUCCUACGGGAGGCAGCAGUGGGGAAGAUUGCACGAUGGGCGGAAGCCGGGUGCAGGAACGCCGCGUGCUGGAUGACGGCCUUCGGGUUGUAAACCGCUUUCGCCUUUGCCGAAGCGUGAGUGACGGUAAUGGGUAAAGAAGCACCGGCUAACUACGUG
rnacentral:rRNA from 1 species